rnacentral:lncRNA from 1 species
GGGGUAGGGGGGGUGGUGGUGGGAAUGAGGGCAUCUCUUCUUUCAGGGGCCAAAUCUGGCACAAGGAUGUCUGCUUAGGCAACUCCACUGCCUGGCAUGCUCUCUCCCUAGGAAAACACCAAACCUUUUUUAUUUCCUCAGUCUUAGUGUGAGAGUGAUCACCUCUUCCAGGAAGCCCACAACCAGAAUGGCCAGGGGCACACCCUGGCCCUCAGUAGAUGGGCACUGAGACAAAACAUGGCCUGCUGGUGGCAUUCCCAACAAUGUCAAAAGUCUCAGGGAUGAGCUCACAGUUGGGAGUCCUUUGGAAGUCCAAUUCCAAAUGUCCUCUGGACUCAAAAUAAAAACUACAUUUCCCAGUCUCCCUUGUAGCUUGCAGUAGCCAUGUGACAAUACUCCAGCCAAUGGGAAGUGAGUGGAAAAGUCCUGUGCAGCUUCUGAGUUGCGUCCACCAUGGGCAUGGGUGUGCUUCUACCUCCACUCUUCCUUCUUCUGGCUGGAGGGCAUGUGGACAAAGCGGGGCCAUGGUGAGCCUCACAAUCAAAGGCAUCAUUUUAGGGAUAGAGAAAAGGAAGAUAGAAGGAUCCUGAGCCCCAACAUCAUAAACCAUCGUAACAGCCAGACUAGCGUGGGAGAGAAAAAUAAAAUUCUAUCAUGUUGAAGUCACUGUAUUUGGUCUCUUGUUAGAGCAGGCUGACUGAUACUCUGUUGAAUACAGAAUGCCUUGGUGAGCCUCUGAGGAUGCAGGAUGCUGCAAUCCAACCAAAGUCCAGGGUGACUUUCGAGGAGAAGGAUGUGAAAGGGCAGGGCUUCCUUUGAGGGAGAAAUGGAGAGAAGGGAGGAGAUCCAGAGAAGAGAGAGCGAGAUCAGCUCAGUGCUCUUCAGUGUCCUCCAGGGUCAACACCCUCCUGGGCAGACCUCUCACCACCCAUUUUUGGGGGGGCAAGAGGCUUGGGGCCAGGUCAUAAAAAGUCAGAUGUCACAGAGCUGUUUUCGUAGAGGCGGGCAGGACUCAACACUGCCUCAUUCACAUUCAUAGGCUGGAGUCAUCACAGAUUCUGGCCACUUUCUCCUCCGGAGGGCAGGCAACACCACUGGUCAGCCCAGGGGUGGGGCACAGGUUGAGGUCUCACAUGUGGCUGCAUCAGGAUCAAUGAGCUUCCCACAGAGAAAACCCUGGUCACAGGAGGCCUCUGGGAGCCAGGGCAGGCCCCCAGGCCCCCAGCCUCAGGUGGGGUCCCAAGAGGAUUGGUGGGAGUGUGCAUGGCUGGAAGUGUGACUUGGAGCCCUGGCCUACCAGUGACUUUGCUGCUCCUCCCAU